GCCUUUCUCUACUCGCCCGGAGUCCGCCUGGCGCGCGCAGUACCAGCGGCUCCCGGCGCUCUCGGCCGCCGGGACACUCUCCGCCCCGGACGCCGUCUCGGGCCUGAGAACAGGUGGCCUCGGAGAGGAGCGCGCCGACAGUCGCCUCUCACUCACCCAGAAGAUGAAGUUAAAUCCGAAGAGCAGGGUGAAGAGGCCCUUCUCAAUAUCCUUUACAGUUUUCUCUUCCUCACCCCUGCAGGAAGUUUCCUUAGCAUUCUUCAUUGCAAAAGCAAACCGUACUUAUUACAGAAACAUCAGAAAAUAUCAGAAAGCAAAAAGAAUAGGCCUUGGGUUUCAUUCCCAGCACACCUGUAACUCCAGUUCCAGAGGAUCUGACACCAUCUCCUGGCCUCUGUGGGCACCAGACAUGCAGGUGGUGCCCAGGCAUUCAAGCUAACAAAACAGCCAUACCAACAUAAUACAAAUUCAGAUUAAAAAAAAAUCUAAAAGAC
rnacentral:lncRNA from 1 species